rnacentral:rRNA from 1 species
UACGAAGGGGGCUAGCGUUGCUCGGAAUCACUGGGCGUAAAGCGCACGUAGGCGGACUCUUAAGUCGGUGGUGAAAUCCUGGAGCUCAACUCCAGAACUGCCUUCGAUACUGAGAGUCUCGAGUCCGGGAGAGGUGAGUGGAACUGCGAGCGUAGAGGUGAAAUUCGUAGAUAUUCGCAAGAACACCAGUGGCGAAGGCGGCUCACUGGCCCGGUACUGACGCUGAGGUGCGAAAGCGUGGGGAGCGAACAGG